rnacentral:rRNA from 1 species
UAGCAUAUCAAUAAGCGGAGGAAAAGAAACCAACAGGGAUUGCCCUAGUAACGGCGAGUGAAGCGGCAACAGCUCAAAUUUGAAAUCUGGCUUCGGCCCGAGUUGUAAUUUGUAGAGGAUGCUUUUGGCGAGGUGCCUUCUGAGUUCCCUGGAACGGGACGCCAGAGAGGGUGAGAGCCCCGUAUAGUCGGACACCUAGCCUCUGUAAAGCUCCUUCGACGAGUCGAGUAGUUUGGGAAUGCUGCUCAAAAUGGGAGGUAUAUCUCUUCUAAAGCUAAAUAUAGGCCAGAGACCGAUAGCGCACAAGUAGAGUGAUCGAAAGAUGAAAAGCACUUUGAAAAGAGGGUUAAAUAGCACGUGAAAUUGUUGAAAGGGAAGCGCUUGUGACCAGACUUGUGCCGGGCUGAUCAUCCAGUGUUCUCACUGGUGCACUCGACCCGGCUCAGGCCAGCGUCGGUUCUCGCAGGGGGAUAAAAGCUUCGGGAACGUGGCUCCUCCGGGAGUGUUAUAGCCCGUUGCUUAAUACCCUUGCGGGGACCGAGGUUCGCGCUCUGCAAGGACGCUGGCAUAAUGGUCAUCAGCGACCCGUCUUGAAACACGGACCAAGGAGUCGAGGUUUUGCGCGAGUGUUUGGGUGUAAAACCCGCACGCGUAAUGAAAGUGAACGUAGGUGAGAGCUUCGGCGCAUCAUCGACCGAUCCUGAUGUAUUCGGAUGGAUUUGAGUAAGAGCGUAAAGCCUCGGACCCGAAAGAUGGUGAACUAUGCCUGAAUAGGGUGAAGCCAGAGGAAACUCUGGUGGAGGCUCGCAGCGGUUCUGACGUGCAAAUCGAUCGUCAAAUUUGGGCAUGGGGGCGAAAGACUAAUCGAACCAUCUAGUAGCUGGUUACCGCAA